AAACGAAGUAAAUGAAAGAAAUAAAAAAAAGGGAAAGAAACAGAAUAGGCAAACGUGAAACAGGGGAGAAAGAAGAAGAAAAAGAAAGGAAAGAAAGAAAAGGAAAAAUUGAAGGUUUGAAGCUUUAAAGUUUAAUUGCUAAUGUUGUCUCGGGAAAUCUUGGCUAAGCAAUGAAAAAUGGCAAAGACAACGGGAUAGCUCGAGAAAAUAUGGUUAAGUAAAGAUAGAACGUUGAAUUAGCAUCCUAGGCAGAUCCCGAAUUCAAUAAGGUAAGGUGUGUUAAUUGUUGGUAAUGGCAUGUACCUAGGGUGUCUUAUGUGUGUGUCAUUUUGAAAUUGUAAAUGUAAGGAUGAAAUAAAUAGAUUUAGGUUUAGUUAUGAUAUAUAAUAAAAUUUGGUUAAUUUGGUAUGAAA